ensembl:lncRNA
AGCAGGAAAACCAAAUAUCUCUGACAGUUGACAAGCAGGGAUACCUUCUACGUCAACACCAUGACCAGCUGGCACAACUGGGGAGUCGUUGCCUUCAACUACCUGAUGAUACAUCCAGCCGACCCAGUGAGCCAGCACAACAGCCCAUUCAGCAACCCGCUCAGGGGGACGGCUGCCGAGUAUACACUCACCUUCCGGACAGUAGAAGCAUCCAUUGGAUGGAAUGAGCCGGUGCUUCGUACACUAUUCAGAAGAGUCUGCGCGAGGAGGUCCAG